rnacentral:lncRNA from 1 species
AAAUAAAAUACAAAAAAAGGAAGAUAAAAAGAAAUAAGAAAUAAAAAAUGGAAGAACCUUCCCCAAUAAAUUUCCCCCAGAUCAUAAUACCUUCCCCAAAAUAAAACUCCCCCACAUGAUACCUUACUCAUACACUUUAUAUAACUAUUUCUACUCAAUACAAAAAAGGAAGAAAGACACAUAAAAAGAAAUUAUAAAAAAACUGGCGGACGAAAUUGAAAAAAGAAGAAAAUACACAAAAAGAAAGAGACCAAAAAAUACACAAAAAAAAUAGACCCCACCCCUGAUCUUCAAAAGAGAAGAAAACAAAAAAGUUCUCAAUUCCCAUUUUCAAAGGAGAGGAACGAACCAAGAGCUCCUUUUCUUCUAGAUUUCGUCAUCUUUUUCACUCCCUGAUUUCACUUUCUUCAGCCACGAGACCAGAUGAAAUCUUCGUGAAUCAGCCUGGAUGACAUGUUGAGAUGUGUCACAUCGGAGGUAUUUGAGGUCCUUGGUCUCCUUAUAUGACUUGGGCAAUCCUCACAUCAUAAGCUAUCUUUUGGGGUUGAGUUAGGCCCAAGGUCCAUUCUUUUCAUGGUAUCAGAACCAUGCCCAUCUCAAUUAUUGUUACCAAUAUUGGGCCCCCAUUUAUGUUGUCCACGCUCCAGAGAUCUGGGCAUGAGUGGCGUGUUGAGUUAUCCCACAUCGGAGGGAUUUGAGGUCCUUGGUCUCCUUAUAUGAUUUAGGCAAUACUCACCUCAUAAGCUAGCUUUUGAGGUUGAGUUAGGCCCAAUGUCCAUUCUUUUCAUGGCAUCGUCCAAAACAUAAUAAAUCAGAGGUGCCGAUUCGAGGUCUGUUCCAGAAUUUUGUCGCGGUUUCCAGCGAGUUUGGUGUCUGGUUCGUAGUUUUGUUUGAAGUUUCCGAUGAGAUUUUGGUUCUAUGGUUCAAGGACAUCAUCUGAGAUGAAAUUUGAAGUAGUUCAUGAUUGGAGUUCCUUGUUAUUGCUGAAAUUCGAAUUCGAAUUGUAACGGCUUGCAAAUUGAACUAAUCGAAGAAAUAUUGCUCAGGUCAAUUCUCUUUCCUUUAUAUCUCUGUUUCAAUGUUCAAAUUCGAUUGCAUCUGGAAAUUAUUUGCUGUUGUUGUUGCGUUUUGUGUCCGAAUGGGUGUGUUGAAGUUUUCCGGCGGAUUUGUUUGAAAACUGCUUCAUCGGCAUUAAAAAUGUGAAAUUAGUUCGAAUAGUCAAGCUAACUUUUUAAACCUCCUGCAACGUUGUUUUUUAUGUGAGAAUUGGGAUUUCGAAUAGAUUGUUUGUUGGGCUCGGACUGUUUUUGGCUUCAUUAGUUUAAUUAGUGAAAUUUUAAAGUAAAGCUUCUGAUUAACUUAUGGAACAUUGGUUGUUUUGCU